UGGGGAAUAUUGCACAAUGGAGGGAACUCUGAUGCAGCGACGCCGCGUGAACGAAGAAGGCUUCCGAGUCGUAAAGUUCUUUUAUAUGGGAAGAUAAUGACGGUACCAUAAGAAAAAGCCCCGGCUAACUACGUGCCAGCAGCCGCGGUAAUACGUAGGGGGCUAGCGUUGUCCGGAAUCACUGGGCGUAAAGGGUUCGCAGGCGGAAAUGCAAGUCAGGUGUAAAAGGCAGUAGCUUAACUACUGUAAGCAUUUGAAACUGCAUAUCUUGAGAAGAGUAGAGGUAAGUGGAAUUUUUAGUGUAGCGCUGAAAUGCGUAGAUAUUAAAAAGAAUACCGGUGGCGAAGGCGACUUACUGGGCUCAUUCUGACGCUGAGGAACGAAAGCGUGGGUAGCAAACAGG
rnacentral:rRNA from 1 species